GCGGCCAUAGUUUAGUUGGUUAGAACGCCGGACUGUGAAUCCGGAGGUCGUGGGUUCGAGCCCCAUUGGCCGCCCCA
rnacentral:tRNA from 1 species